rnacentral:rRNA from 1 species
UGGGGAAUAUUGCACAAUGGGCGCAAGCCUGAUGCAGCGACGCCGCGUGGGGGAUGACGGCCUUCGGGUUGUAAACCUCUUUCAGCAGGGACGAAGCGAAAGUGACGGUACCUGCAGAAGAAGCACCGGCCAACUACGUGCCAGCAGCCGCGGUAAUACGUAGGGUGCGAGCGUUGUCCGGAAUUACUGGGCGUAAAGAGCUCGUAGGUGGUUUGUCGCGUUGUUCGUGAAAACCGGGGGCUUAACCCUCGGCGUGCGGGCGAUACGGGCAGACUAGAGUACUGCAGGGGAGACUGGAAUUCCUGGUGUAGCGGUGGAAUGCGCAGAUAUCAGGAGGAACACCGGUGGCGAAGGCGGGUCUCUGGGCAGUAACUGACGCUGAGGAGCGAAAGCGUGGGGAGCGAACAGGAUUAGAUACCCUGGUAGUCCACGCCGUAAACGGUGGGUACUAGGUGUGGGGUUUCCUUCCUUGGGGAUCCGUGCCGUAGCUAACGCAUUAAGUACCCCGCCUGGGGAGUACGGCCGCAAGGCUAAACUUAAAUGAAUUGACGGGGUCAUAGCUGUUUCCU